UGGCGACCGGCGCACGGGUGAGUAACACGUAUCCAACCUACCCUUUACUCGGGGAUAGCCUUUCGAAAGAAAGAUUAAUACCCGAUAGCAUAAUGAUUCCGCAUGGUUUCAUUAUUAAAGGAUUCCGGUAAAGGAUGGGGAUGCGUUCCAUUAGGUUGUUGGUGGGGUAACGGCCCACCAAGCCUUCGAUGGAUAGGGGUUCUGAGAGGAAGGUCCCCCACAUUGGAACUGAGACACGGUCCAAACUCCUACGGGAGGCAGCAUG
rnacentral:rRNA from 1 species